rnacentral:lncRNA from 1 species
GAAAAAUAGAUGGUUGCAGUCAAUUAAUUUGUUCUCAACUGUCCCAUUUAAAGGAGGAAGUAAUAGGUUGAUGAUUUCCACUUUAAUUUUCAGAUGCUUCUAUAGAUGUAGUGGAUGCUUCAAUAUCUAUUUCUGUGUUUUCAGAACUUUGAGUAUUUUUUGUAAUUUCUAGAUUUUCACUUGUUUCUCUAUGAUCUAAAGUCUGUACAUUUUGUCUUUGAAUGUCUAUAGAAAGUGGAAGUCUAAUGUUGUUUAUAUUUGUCUUCUGAAUGUCCAUGUCCUUUUUUGAGUUGAUCUGG